rnacentral:rRNA from 1 species
UACGUAGGGUGCAAGCGUUAAUCGGAAUUACUGGGCGUAAAGCGUGCGCAGGCGGUUAUGUAAGACAGGUGUGAAAUCCCCGGGCUCAACCUGGGAAUUGCGAUGGAGACUGCAAGGCUAGAAUCUGGCAGAGGGGGGUAGAAUUCCACGUGUAGCAGUGAAAUGCGUAGAGAUGUGGAGGAACACCGAUGGCGAAGGCAGCCCCCCUGGGUCAAGAUUGACGCUCAUGCACGAAAGCGUGGGGAGCAAACAGG